UUGACCUCAAAUCAGGUAGGACUACCCGCUGAACUUAAGCAUAUCAAUAAGCGGAGGAAAAGAAACUAACAAGGAUUCCCCUAGUAACUGCGAGUGAAGCGGGAAGAGCUCAAAUUUGAAAUCUGGCGGUUCUUGACCGUCCGAGUUGUAAUCUAGAGAAGUGCUACCUGUGCUGGACCGUGUACAAGUCUCCUGGAAUGGAGCAUCACAGAGGGUGAGAAUCCCGUCUUUGACACGGACUGCCUGUACGUUGUGGUGCGCUCUCGAAGAGUCGAGUUGUUUGGGAAUGCAGCUCAAAAUGGGUGGUAAAUGCCAUCUAAAGCUAAAUAUUGGCGAGAGACCGAUAGCGAACAAGUACCGUGAGGGAAAGAUGAAAAGAACUUUGGAAAGAGAGUUAAACAGUACGUGAAAUUGCUGAAAGGGAAACGCUUGAAGUCAGUCGCGUCGGCUAGAAAUCAGCCUUGCUUUUGCUUGGUGUACUUUCUUGUUGAUGGGUCAGCAUCAAUUUYGACCAUCGGAUAAAGUCGUCGGGAAUGUGGCAUCUUCGGAUGUGUUAUAGCCYGGCGUCGCAUACGGUGGUUGGGAUUGAGGAGCUCAGCACGCCGCAAGGCCGGGUCUCUUGACCACGUCCGUGCUUAGGAUGCUGGCAUAAUGGCUUUAAUCGACCCGUC
rnacentral:rRNA from 1 species